rnacentral:SRP_RNA from 1 species
CCUGGUGUGGGGGUACACACUAUAAUCCCAGUUGCAAAGGAAGUUGAGGCUGGAAGAUCUCUUGAGUUCAGAAGUAUUAGGUUGUAUUGGGCUAUGCUGUUCAGGUAUGCCCACUAAAGUCAGCAUUAAUGUGGUGGGAUCACAGGAAGAAAAGGGCAUGCGGGGGUGCUACCAGGUUGCCUAAGGAGGGGCAAAUAGAUCCAGGUCCAAAACAGAGCAGAUCAAAGCUCCUGCAUUGAUCUGUAAUUGGAUCUGGCUGUGAGUAGCCCUUGCACUUCCAUCUUGAGUGAGACAGGGAGACUCAGUCUUA